rnacentral:lncRNA from 1 species
UCAACGAAUAGUGUUGUGAAAGAAGGACGAAUAACUGACGUUAUCAUCGUCGCUCUUAUUUUACAUUUUUGUGAUUUUUAUCAUUUGUGAAUAUUAGUAAUAAAAGUCUUUUUUGAAGUUAAUUGAGUGAUCAUCAACUUAGGUUAAACAUGAAUAAACAAGAUAACAUGCUGUGUGAUUUUUUUUAUGCCUUUACCAUACGAUGACAUUUUUCUGAUUUCGAUCUAAGAUGAAAUUGAUGAGUUAUAAAGCGUUCUCUUUAUCCUGGUAUUAUAACAGACAAUAGUAAGUAGAAUAGCAAUAUUUUGUUCAAUUAAAAUACUUUACUCUGUA